rnacentral:rRNA from 1 species
GACGAACGCUGGCGGCGUGCUUAACACAUGCAAGUCGAACGGAAAGGCCCUGCUUUUGUGGGGUGCUCGAGUGGCGAACGGGUGAGUAACACGUGAGUAACCUGCCCUUGACCUUGGGAUAACUUCAGGAAACUGGGGCUAAUACCGGAUAGGAGCUCCUGCUGCAUGGUGGGGGUUGGAAAGUUUCGGCGGUUGGGGAUGGACUCGCGGCUUAUCGGCUUGUUGGUGGGGUAGUGGCUUACCAAGGCUUUGACGGGUAGCCGGCCUGAGAGGGUGACCGGCCACAUUGGGACUGAGAUACGGCCCAGACUCCUACGGGAGGCAGCAGUGGGGAAUAUUGCACAAUGGGCGGAAGCCUGAUGCAGCAACGCCGCGUGCGGGAUGACGGCCUUCGGGUUGUAAACCGCUUUCGCCUGUGACGAAGCGUGAGUGACGGUAAUGGGUAAAGAAGCACCGGCUAACUACGUG